GACGAACGCUGGCGGCGUGCUUAACACAUGCAAGUCGAACGAAGAGCGACGGAAGCUUGCUUCUAUCAAUCUUAGUGGCGAACGGGUGAGUAACGCGUAAUCAACCUGCCCUUCAGAGGGGGACAACAGUUGGAAACGACUGCUAAUACCGCAUACGAUCUAACCUCGGCAUCGAGGAUAGAUGAAAGGUGGCCUCUACAUGUAAGCUGUCACUGAAGAAGGGGAUUGCGUCUGAUUAGCUAGUUGGAGGGGUAACGGCCCACCAAGGCGAUGAUCAGUAGCCGGUCUGAGAGGAUGAACGGCCACAUUGGGACUGAGACACGGCCCAGACUCCUACGGGAGGCAGCAGUGGGGAAUCUUCCGCAAUGGACGAAAGUCUGACGGAGCAACGCCGCGUGAGUGAUGACGGCCUUCGGGUUGUAAAGCUCUGUUAAUCGGGACGAAAGGCCUUCUUGCGAAUAGUGAGAAGGAUUGACGGUACCGGAAUAGAAAGCCACGGCUAACUACGUG
rnacentral:rRNA from 1 species